rnacentral:lncRNA from 1 species
UAUUGUUUCUUUUGAUGUUAUAUAUGUUGUAUGAAGAGCGGUGCAGGUGACGCUUCUUCCCUGCACUCUCUGAAUGGUCAGCACGUCACUUCAGAUGAGACAGACCCCUAUGAGAUGGAGGUACGUGUCCAGUGAAAACCUUUCCUCUUCCCCUUUUUAUGUUUCAUAGCUAUCAUUUUGGUACAACAGGUGAUUUUACGCGCCAGGGAGGCAGAGAUGCAGUUCCUCCGACAAGAAGCCAUGUCUCUCAAGGAGGAACUCAAACUGGCUCGAAUGGAUACGAUUUAUGCCCAGAAUAAGCUCAAGUCUUUGUGCAUGGGAACCCCUCAUGAGAAGUUGUAUGAGGACUUUAAUAAAUGUGCCACUUGGUCUCCGGGAAAACGGGAGCACGGUCAAGGUAACUUUAAUCGUUUGGGGUUAGAAAGUCUAUUAUUUUAACUUAUAUUUGAUCAGGGGUGCCACAAUUAGUGGACAGCUCAUUGACACGCCGGAUUUAAGUUGUCAUUUCUUUGCAGUACUGUCAGAGGACGCUGUGGCAAACAAAGACGAUGUCACAGUUGAAAAUAAAACUAGCAAAUUGUCAAUCUCCCGUCGGCUUAGAGCAGUGAGG